UACGUAGGGGGCAAGCGUUGUCCGGAUUUAUUGGGCGUAAAGAGCGUGUAGGCGGCCAAGCAGGUCAGCUGUGAAAACUCGAGGCUCAACCUCGAGACGUCGGUUGAAACCGUUUGGCUAGAGUCCGGAAGAGGAGAGUGGAAUUCCCGGUGUAGCGGUGAAAUGCGCAGAUAUCGGGAAGAACACCCGUGGCGAAGGCGGCUCUCUGGGACGGUACUGACGCUGAGA
rnacentral:rRNA from 1 species